CCUAAGCAAGACUUGCACCUCUACGUGGUGCUUAGGAUCAGUAGCCUGUAUGGCGAAGCCAAGCAAGU
rnacentral:ribozyme from 1 species